AGACAUUAAUCUUAAGUAUCCAGGGAGCCCUAAAACAUUGUAUCCCACUAGCAAGGACCAUGGUAAUUGCCACGUAAAUCCCCUCCAUUAUGUGGCCCUUAUUAUGACCAGCCAGCCAAGGCUUGCCUUUAAAUCAUACCAAUUGAACCGAGCCUUGUAGAAACACUAUCACCUACGCAUACCUCUGCUUCUUUUCAUUAACCUGCUAUCCUCUUUACAAAUGGGAUUCUUCACCCACUCCCUUCUUCUAGAUUAGCAAUGCCCUGUUAAGUAAACGAACACGAAAUUCAAAGGGAAACAGGAGCAAUCAUCAUUACCAGCUGCCGUGUUAAGCAUUGCGAAAACGCUCACGAUUCACAGAAAAAUCCAUGCUGUUCUUUGAAGGCAUUCAAGCCUUAAUAGCUAGCUGGAUGAAUGUUUAACUUCUAGGCCAGGCACUACUCUGUCCCAACAAUAAGCCCUGUACAUUGGGAAAGGUGCCGAGACAUGAACUUUGGUCUUCUCUGCAAUCCAUCUGGAGCAUUCACUGACAACAUCGACUUUGAAGUUGCACUGACCUGGCCAGCCCUGCCACUUACCAGGUUGGGCUGUGGCUUGCCUUUUCACUUCUUGUGUCCUGUUUAAGAAAUAUCUGCUAUCCCAAGAUAACACUAACAAAGUUGACCUUAGAAUUGGAGUGCCUGGGUUAGAACCCUGCUGGUACCACCUGCUUACUGCAUGCUUCUGAUGUGAGUUCAGGAGAAGACACUGGCAAGGACAGCAAAGAACAGGAGAACACUCUAGCUUCCCUGAUAGCAUUCAAGGUGCUGUCCAAACUGACUGUGAUGGCACCCUCCAGACAGACAGCGAUGCCACAUGUUCAAGAUGGCAGAAUCACUAUCAGCUUCAAUUCCUGAAUGACUGCAGAGCAAAAUUUCUUACCUGCAACAUACACUCUAUUUUCAGCCUCCCUGGACUGUUACAUAAUGAUACAUAAAAAUAUUUCUUGUGUUGAGGCAUCCCAAAUUUGAUUUAUUUGUCAUCACAGUCUAUCCUAUGAAUAUAUUUCUGAUCCAAAUAAUGCUAGAUUCAUGAGAGUUUAUAGUCCAGAGAUUUUUUUUUUUUUUUUGAGACAGAAUCUGUCUCCCAGGCUGGGGUGCAGUGGCAUAAUCUUAGCUCACUGCAACCUCUGCCUCCCGGGCUCAAGUGAUCCUCCCUCCUUAGCCUCCAUGAGUAGCUGGGACCACAGGUGUGCACCACCACACCCCGCUAAUUAUUUUGUAUUUUUUGCAGAGGGGGGUUUCACCACAUUGCCCAAGCUGGUCUCAAACUCCUAGACUUAAGGGAUCUGCCUGCCUUGGCCUCCCAAAAUGCUGAAAUUACACUUGUUAGCCAUAGUAAUAGUUCCUAGCCAUAGUCCGGAGAUAUUUUAAAAACUUUAGUGUGAGUUAUUUCUCUUUGCUAUAAUUCUCUCAUGCAUUUUGAAAACCUUUUCUGCCAUACAGUGGUUUUUGGGAAGUCCUUUUGGACAGACAUAUCACAGGAUGGAGAAACUAAAAAGAGAGAAUGCAUUAAAGAAAAAAUAGUACUUCGUAUUUCAGAAAUUACAAAAGGGUGUCAUGCCCCACAGCAUGGUGGGCAGUCAUUUGUAACCCACAGAACAUUGAGUUUCUAAAAUUUGAGUGUUUUUAACUUACGAAGGCCAACUUUACUGAUGAAGUGAUUACCCCAAAUAUGUGAAAUCCAUAUUUCAAGUACAAUAGUAGGAAAUUGGAAAUGGGCUCUUGAGUUUCUGCUUUCAAGUGACCCUCAGAAAUUCCUCCAUUCACUGCAGAGGUUCUGUUUCUCCUUGCUUUGUUCUGACUUUACGGCAGAACUAAGCUAAUGAGUUAGUUACUAUGGGUUAUCACUUGGAUUUGAAGAACCAUCAUUUCUAGGCAUUGCUGCUCAGAGUGGGUCUGCCCUCAGGGGAAGCUGUCUAACCAGAGCCUAACCCACUAGGGUUUUAUCAGAACCUAACUGACCUGAGGAAAAGAAAUACUCAACUCCAGCAAGCUCCAGCCUUCCAAAUGGAGGAGGAGAAAACCCAACUCCAGCCCACUUCAGCUAUCUUGUCCCACAUAAAGGGGAAGUGGAAGAAACCUGAGAAGCAGGCAUGAAGUUCACAGUCCAGAGGUAUACAAGCCACGCUGAACAUCUGAAAAUCAAUUCAUGUGAUCCAUCACAUUAGCAGACUCAAGAAAAAAAACCACAUUAUCAUAUCAGUAGAUGUAGAAAAAAAAAAUUAACAAAAUCCAGCACCCAUUCACAAUGAAAAUGCCCAGUAAAUUAGAAAUAGAAGGUAACUUCCUCAAAUUGAUAAGGAAUAUCUCUAAAAACCUACAACUAAAAUCAUACUUAAUGGUAGAAAACUAGAAGCCUUCCCAGUAAGAGUAAGAACAAGUCAAAGAUGUAUGCUCUCACCAAUGCUUUUCAACAUCAUAUUGGAAGUCCUAGCUAGUGCAAUAAGCAAAAAAAAAAAAAAAGUUAUAUUAAUAAGAACAAAAACUGUGUUUGUUUGCAGAUGACAUGAUUUUCUAUGCAAAAAAUUCAAAAUAAUCAACAACAAAAAAAUCCUGAAACUAAUAAAUGAUUAUAGCAAGAUUUCAGGAUAUGAGAUUUAUAUACAAAGGUCAAUUACUUUCAUAUAUACAAGCAAUGAACAAGAGGGAUUUGAAAUUAAAAACGAAACUAUUUACAUUAGUACCCCCAAAAUGAAAUCCUUAUGUAUAAACUUAACAAAAUAUGUACAAGAUACAUAUGAGAAAAA
rnacentral:lncRNA from 1 species